CAGGACUGCAGUGACCAGCAAAUGUAUCUACUUGCCAGAUGUCAAGCUGGAACUCAGAGAAUACACCAUCUUUUGAGAAGAAGGAGCCCUGUGCUGUGACAGAGUAUCGAGAGAAAUUCAGAGGAUCAUUGCAGAUGAAACAUCACAUCAUUGACAAGAGUUUAAAGCUUUAACAUUGUACCAGGAGAGUCAUUGAGAGUAAUACUGUGAAGUUCAGGAUAGAGAAGAGAUCAAUUAUAAAUCCCCAAAUGAGGCAAGCAUCCAAUACAGGAUUAUUCCAACUGAGGGAUUGAUGCAUUGGCUCACUGCCACUUCAGCUAGAACAAAUUUAAAUUCAUAGCACUGCUGGUGGGAAAAUACAAGUAGGACCCACUACAGUUGCCAGCCCCCAUCAAGGUGGUAAAUACACCACUGUAACUACUAAAAGGUUGCAAAAGGAAAGCCAGCCUGUAGUUUAUCUAUAACAGCUUAAAGAGUUACCAAGCCUUCCCUUAAUCAUUUUUGUUUUCAUGAUUUAACACCUGAUUGUUUGAUAUUGGUAAUUUUAAACAAAUUUUUCACUUCCUCUAAAAUAUAAACCUGUCACAGUG
rnacentral:lncRNA from 1 species